AGCGAACGCUGGCGGCAGGCCUAACACAUGCAAGUCGAACGAACUCUUCGGAGUUAGUGGCGGACGGGUGAGUAACACGUGGGAACGUGCCUUUUGGUUCGGUAUAACUCAGGGAAACUUGUGCUAAUACCGAAUGUGCCCUUCGGGGGAAAGAUUUAUCGCCAUUAGAGCGGCCCGCGUCUGAUUAGCUAGUUGGUGAGGUAACGGCUCACCAAGGCGACGAUCAGUAGCUGGUCUGAGAGGAUGACCAGCUACACUGGGACUGAGACACGGCCCAGACUCCUACGGGAGGCAGCAGUGGGGAAUCUUGCGCAAUGGGCGAAAGCCUGACGCAGCCAUGCCGCGUGAAUGAUGAAGGUCUUAGGAUUGUAAAAUUCUUUCACCGGGGACGAUAAUGACGGUACCCGGAGAAGAAGCCCCGGCUAACUUCGUG
rnacentral:rRNA from 1 species